UCGUCGGUGCGCGCACUCGUGCGCGUCGCACGGCCUAACGAACCCCGGCGCGAAAAGCGUCAAGGAACACUCAAAACGCCGCCCGCCCUCGGUGCCCCGUUCGCGGCGUGCACCCGGGGGAUCGGACGCGUGUCGAAUUUAAAACGACUCUCGGCAACGGAUAUCUUGGCUCUCGCAUCGAUGAAGAACGCAGCAAAAUGCGAUACUUGGUGUGAAUUGCAGAAUCCCGUGAACCAUCGAGUUUUUGAACGCAAGUUGCGCCCGAAGCCAUUAUGCCGAGGGCACGUCUGCCUGGGCGUCACGCACAUCGUCGCCCUCCGCCUCGGCCCGUAAAGGGAUCGCGGGUGUUGGGUCGGAUAUUGGCCCCCCGUGCGCUUCGGCGCGCGGUCGGCCCAAAUGUGAUUCGGCAUCGACGCGUGCCGCGACGAUUGGUGGUUGAAGAACUCAACUCGCGCGUUGUCGCGGCGUCGUUCGGCUCGAACGUGUUGACCCCGACGGUGCAUCGCACCUC
rnacentral:rRNA from 1 species